UCCUUCUUAGCUCAGUUGGUAGAGCGCGUCACUAGUAUAGGAAGAUUCUAGAAACUCAAUGACGAGGUCAGUCGUUCAAGUCGGCUAGAAGGAA